AAAGAUCGCAGCCUGCGGCAGCUCCUACAGGAGAAACGCAUUCCAAUGUAGGAGCUGCCGCAGGCUGCGAUCUUU
rnacentral:antisense_RNA from 1 species